CUGGAAAUUUUGGGUGUUAGGAUGUGAAACUCUGGAUCUUAAUCUUUUUUUUAGCAGGAAGUCAUCCCUUUUUGCGGUGGCAUGUAGGCAUGGGUGGAGAUAGCAGUUCAGCCUCCUGCUAGGCCCCAUGUGAAAGCUGAGGAUCAAUUUGUAUCAAUCACCUUAUUGGUGCCUGGUGGGGGUAGUAUUUCAGCUCCCUGCUGUGACACCAGUAUUGGGGUAUAGAGGAGUGGAGCUCUAACACUGCUUUAUCUCACUUGUUUCUCUUUGUUGCUGCCAGAUAGGAUUGAAAAUUCAGCUGCCUCCUAGCUCUGUUGCCAUCACCCCAGGAAAAGCAGGGUACCAACUUGUACCAUCUCUGGCCAUCUCACUGCCCCUGGGUGAGAAUGGAAGAAUCUUCUAGUGUUUGCUUGUGCUAUUGGCAAAUUCCUGCUUGUCUGGACUGGAAGUCUCAGUAUAGAAUUUUUAGGUAAGUUGUUGAAUAAUUAACUGAAGAACUAAAAAAAAAAAAA